rnacentral:rRNA from 1 species
UACGUAGGGUGCAAGCGUUAAUCGGAAUUACUGGGCGUAAAGCGUGCGCAGGCGGUUCUAUAAGACAGCUGUGAAAUCCCCGGGCUCAACCUGGGAACUGCAUUUGUGACUGUAGAGCUGGAGUACGGUAGAGGGGGAUGGAAUUCCGCGUGUAGCAGUGAAAUGCGUAGAUAUGCGGAGGAACACCGAUGGCGAAGGCAAUCCCCUGGACCUGUACUGACGCUCAUGCACGAAAGCGUGGGGAGCAAACAGG